rnacentral:rRNA from 1 species
GAUGAACGCUGACAGAAUGCUUAACACAUGCAAGUCAACUGUGGCGGACGGGCGAGUAACGCGUAAAGAACUUGCCUCACAGCUAGGGACAACAUUAGGAAACGAAUGCUAAUACCUGAUACUGUGAGAGAGCUUUGCGUCCCAUUAGCUAGUUGGAGAGGUAACGGCUCACCAAGGCGAUGAUGGGUAGCCGGCCUGAGAGGGUGAUCGGCCACAAGGGGACUGAGACACGGCCCUUACUGCUACGGGAGGCAGCAGUGGGGAAUAUUGGAAAAUGGACCAAAGUCUGAUCCAGCAAUUCUGUGUGCACCAUGAAGUUUUCGGAAUGUAAAGUCCUUUAAGUUUGGAAGCGGUACCAACAGGAGACGUGACGGCUAAAUACGUGCCAGCAGCCGCGGUAAUAC